CUCACACUUGACACUGCGUCUGCACGCGUGGAGAAAGUCCGUCCGCCUUCUAGGGUGACCCACAUUGUGGUGCAUGGCUGUCUUCUGAUCGGGUCGGGAGAUGGUGGGUUAACUCCCACAACAAUCGCAACCCUCGGCCUUACUUGCCAUCACUUUAAUUGGGCACUCUAAGGAGACUGCCGGUGAUAACCCAGACGAAGGGGGGAAUGACUUCAAGUCAUCAUGGCCCUUACAGGCUGGGCUACACACGUGCUACAAUGGUUGUGACAGAGGGACACACACGAAUAAUCCAUCCCAAAUCACAAAAACCCGUCUCACUUCUUCAUUGUGAUCUGAAACUCGAGCACAUGAAAUAGGAAUCACUAGUAAUCACAGAUCAGCACGCUGCGGUAAAUACCUUCCCGGGUCUUGUACACACCGCCCGACACACCAUGGGAGUUGGCUUUACCUGAAGGCUGUGCGCUAACCCGCAAGGGACGCAUCCUACCACGGUAAGGUCAGCGACUGGGGUG
rnacentral:rRNA from 1 species